CCUGCUUGCAGACAGGAGCUACCCACUGUGGGUCUCCUCUCUGUUGAGAGCUGGACACUUAUUGGGAUGACCUGCCUGCAGAAGG
rnacentral:miRNA from 1 species